rnacentral:rRNA from 1 species
UACGUAGGGUGCAAGCGUUAAUCGGAAUUACUGGGCGUAAAGCGUACGCAGGCGGUGAUGUAAGACAGGUGUGAAAUCCCCGGGCUUAACCUGGGAACUGCAUUUGUGACUGCAUCGCUGGAGUGCGGCAGAGGGGGAUGGAAUUCCGCGUGUAGCAGUGAAAUGCGUAGAUAUGCGGAGGAACACCGAUGGCGAAGGCAAUCCCCUGGGCCUGCACUGACGCCCAUGCACGAAAGCGUGGGGAGCAAACAGG